GGGGCCUACGGGAGGCAGCAGUGAGGAAUAUUGGGCAAUGGAGGCAACUCUGACCCAGCUAUGCCGCGUGCAGGAAGACGGCCCUCUGGGUUGUAAACUGCUUUUGUUUGGGAAUAAAUCCUCCUACGUGUAGAAGGCUGACGGUACUAUACGAAUAAGCACCGGCUAACUCCGUGCCAGCAGCCGCGGUAAUACGGAGGGUGCAAGCGUUAUCCGGAAUCACUGGGUUUAAAGGGUGCGUAGGCGGCCUGAUAAGUCAGAGGUGAAAUACUGUCGCUCAACGAUAGCAUUGCCUUUGAUACUGUUAGGCUUGAAUCAGAAUGAGGUUAGCGGAAUGUGUCAUGUAGCGGUGAAAUGCUUAGAUAUGCCACAGAACACCGAUUGCGAAGGCAGCUUGCUAGGCUAUAACUGACGCUGAGGCACGAAAGCGUGGGGAGCAAACAGGAUUAGACACCCUGGUAGUCCACGCUGUAAACGAUGAUUACUCGUUGUUGGCGAUAUACAGUCAGCGACUAAGCGAAAGUAUUAAGUAAUCCACCUGGGAAGUACGACCGCAAGGUUGAAACUCAAAGGAAUUGACGGGG
rnacentral:rRNA from 1 species